GGAGACCACACCCCCCUACACAAAGACAGACUAGACAGACAGGGGAAGAACACACAGGAGACAAAAGGGCAGCGAAACAGAGGAAACACUGGGAAAACUGGAAUGCCAGCGUACACAGGAACCAGGACAAGCAGCAGGGCAGCAGCUUCUCGCUCUCUAUGCAAAGUAAAGAAAGACGAGACUGAGGCUUCAUCUCAUCACCGCUCCACUGCUGCCUGUGAAGUAGGAGGCUGAUAACGGGACGUGCAGAGGCUGCUGUUUGGAUUUGGACCACUCUCCACUAUC